UAAUUGUACCCAGAAAAGAUAAAAUAAAUUAAAGCGUGAUUCGGCAAUGGAUGAAUAUACAGAGAAACGAAAAAGGGGCGUGUUUGGGGGAUUAGAUCUUCUUCUUCCGGACACACUAUCACUUCACACCGAUUUUCAACAAUUCAAUCCAACCAUGACAGGUAUUUUCUAAUUUCAAUCUUGAACUCUCUAUUUUCAUUCUAUUAAGUUGUCCCCUUGUUCCUCCUUCACUUAUUUGCUUCCAAAGCUAUCACAUUUGCAAAGUGGCCAUCCUUCUUGAAACCAAAAUAUGACAAAAUAAGAACAACAACAUAUCAAGACACACAAAGGCUAAAAUAACACAACUUACUAAGAUAAUCUUCGACCUGCUCUUGAGUUCGACAUGACAUUAACUCCCGAGUUCCUGUGGACCUUGGAUCGGUAUAAAUGUUGUAGUCUUGAAAAACAACCUUUGUUUUUAAAGACUUGGCAAAACACAAUAGCUAAGAGAAAGGUUAUUGACCCAGAAAAAGAAAAACAGAGAGCAAAAUUGGAGUUGAUGAUGAUCAGUGGUGUUGUGAACUUGGAGUUUAAGAAUGAAAGACUACUGAGACAAAUUCAUCAAAGGAAUUACUAGGGUCAAAUGUAUAUUUCAUGUUACUCAUAAGUGAGGGAAUUUGUGCUUUUGAUUGCACAGCCGAAGAUAAUGGAAGAUUAUCAGGGUGCUUUAAAGGUUUAUGAGGAGAUUGUGAAGGAAGAACCAGAGAUUUUAGACCCUAUUUGUGUCAAGGUGUUGUGUAUACUUUGGUUAGAAAGAAUGAUGAAGCUGAGAAACAGUUUGAGGAGUAUAGAAAACUUGUACCUGAGAAUCACCCUUAUAAAGAGUAUUUAGAAGAUGACACUAAGAUUUUCUCAAAAAAACUAGAAAGGAAAGGAAUAGAUGCAAAGAGUUGAGAAUCACAAUCACGCACAAAGUGUUACAUCUUGGGUGGUUUUGUUGGAGUAUGACACGAGGAAACAUAAACUCUGGUUUAAUUUUGAGUCAGCCAAAACUAAUGAUAGGACCAAAACAAUUUACAGCCAAAGAGGUCACUGCACAGUGAUGCUAAAAAAAGCUGAGAUGACAAACGGAGAAGGGAGAAAACAAGAAAAGCGUGAAAUUACAGAGACAAAACUAAAAAAAUUGCGAACUUGGAGUUUAAGAAUGAAAGACUACUGAGACAAAUUCAUUAAAGGAACUACUGGUCAGUAUUCUUUAUAAUCAACUCUAACUUUCUGUAUAACAUUCUUUAUAUGAAUGAGUUGUUACAUAAAUAAUUAAAUAUAUACUGUUACUUUUAGUAAAAUGGUCUUAAUUUAAAUCGGUCUUUAUUAGCAUGUUAUCACGUUGACUUAUGAGUUAUGCGUAGACUAAUAUAUGCAUUUCGGCUUCAUCAAACCAAAUUGUCACCAAAUCUGUAUGCCUUAAAAUUGGUAAAAACAGCUACCCAAUAUUUCUUGAUCUGAUCUACAUAGUCUCGGACCAUAAAAUUGUGAACUGUCACCUACCUUUGGUUUGUGACUUUUAUUCAAUAUUUGUUGAAAGAAUGGGGAAAGCAUAUGUCCAGGUAUUGUCUGUAGAGGUAAAUACCUAUUGUCAUUUUAUAUUUUGUUCUAAUUAAUGAUGUGGAAGAUGAUUGGGAUACUGUUUACAUUUUACAUACGAAAUAAUGGCUGAAACAUUCCCUAUGCAUGUUAUGCUAUAAAGCAUGAAGUACUUCUAAAAUGGUGAAGUACCCAUACUGGGUGCUUAACCGGUACUGGGACUCGUACCAUAUUUGUGGGUAUUCUGUUUUUAUUUAUUUUAUUUCGAGUGAAAUUCAUGAUUUUGUUAUAUAUUAAUAUAAUAUUAUUUGUUUAUUUGAGUUUAUUUGUUAUUGUAAUUGAACACAAUUUGUAAUUUGUUAGACAUUUAUUUUGAUUUUGUAUUGUGAAUUGAACAAUUUAACUCUCUAAGUUAAAUUAUAUAAAAAAAUUAAUGUUUUUCAUUGAUGUAUCCAUACCUUAAUUUAAAAAAAAAAAAUACCAUUUCACGUACUCGUACCAGUACCUAAUACUAGUACCGUACCUAUGCGUCAUAGAUCUUAUGCUGAUACAAUUUUCAUGCCACUGUAUUGAUGUUACCAUAUAGUUCCUCUGAUUAUGAUAUCAUUGUGCAAACAUAUCGGUCUGUGAACAUGAGUUUGAAGUAGAGGUUGUGUCGUUGGGUUGGGCUCUAUGCUCACUAAGCUUGAUUCUGAUUUGCAACGGAAAAUUAGGUGCACAGGCUUGAAGUGUGGUAAUGAGGUACACAAUUUUUGAUAUAGUCAAUGACAAAUGAUUUUUUUGGAAAUUCUCUUGAAAUAUGUACCAGAUCCCAUGCUCUCUCAUAUCUCGUGUUAUUUUUAUCAAUAGUACCUUGCUAGUUUUCUACUUAUGCAUACUUUUUAUGCUUUAGUUUUUUUAUAGAAUAUUUUUUUCUUUGUUGGACUUCAUCUGUGUACUAAAGAGCUAAAUAGCUUAUUGAAUAAGUUUGUUGAAUAGAGCAUACACAUAGAAAAUAAAUAUGUAUACUGAAUAAUUAAGCAAAAGACUGGAUGUUUUUUCCUUCCAAAGUAGCUCUCCCCUCUCAUUAUAGCUGUUGAAAUAGUAAUCAACCAAUUCUUUUAAAAAUAAUGUAUAUAGUUAUAGUUGUCAACAUAGUUGGUUUAGUAUUGUGAAGAGGAUAGUUGCUUGGCUACCUAAGAACUAGUUUUAGAACUUAGAAAUGGGAAUCAUUAUUUAAUCAUUGAUCAUUUUGUGUGGCGAAUGCUACAGACUGAUGUUUUUUUCCCAGUUAUAUAAAUAUGUCUUGUUUUGCUUAAUUCCUCCAUUUUGUUGGUAUAUUCAAGUCCUUCAAAUCUUUAAUGGUAUUUUGAUUUAUAAUUACAUAUAUCUGUUACUUAUAAUAGGAUUUCUGAUUUGAUGUCUUAUGGUUUAUAACUUUGAUGGCACAGAAAUUCGAAAUAGUCAUUAUGGAUCAAGCUGAAAAACAGUUAAAGUGUAGGAUUAGUUGGGGAAGCCGAAAUGACAAAUCAAUGGAUUGAUUUAUUUAUAUAGAGAUUUGAUAUAUGAAUACUUGAUUUGCUCGGCAUUGUAAAGACAUCCACAACUUUCUCUUUUUGUUAUGAGCAUUUUAAGAUUCCCUUCA